rnacentral:rRNA from 1 species
GACAGAGGGUGCAAACGUUGUUCGGAUUUACUGGGCGUAAAGCGCGUGUAGGCGGCUUGGCAAGUCGGAUGUGAAAGCCCACGGCUCAACCGUGGAAGCGCAUCCGAAACGGCCUCGCUCGAGUCUCGGAGAGGAAGGUGGAAUGCUUGGUGUAGAGGUGAAAUGCGCAGAUAUCAGGAAGAACACCUAUGGCGAAGGCAGCUCUCUGGGACGGUACUGACGCUGAGACGCGAAAGCGUGGGGAGCGAACAGG